GAUGAACGCUGGCGGCGUGCCUAAUACAUGCAAGUCGAGCGAACGGACGAGAAGCUUGCUUCUCUGAUGUUAGCGGCGGACGGGUGAGUAACACGUGGAUAACCUACCUAUAAGACUGGGAUAACUUCGUGAAACCGUAGCUAAUACCGGAUAAUAUUUUGAACCGCAUGGUUCAAAAGUGAAAGACGGUCUUGCUGUCACUUAUAGAUGGAUCCGCGCUGCAUUAGCUAGUUGGUAAGGUAACGGCUUACCAAGGCAACGAUGCAUAGCCGACCUGAGAGGGUGAUCGGCCACACUGGAACUGAGACACGGUCCAGACUCCUACGGGAGGCAGAAGUAGGGAAUCUUCCGCAAUGGGCGAAAGCCUGACGGAGCAACGCCGCGUGAGUGAUGAAGGUCUUCGGAUCGUAAAACUCUGUUAUUAGGGAAGAACAUAUGUGUAAGUAACUGUGCACAUCUUGACGGUACCUAAUCAGAAAGCCACGGCUAACUACGUG
rnacentral:rRNA from 1 species